rnacentral:tRNA from 1 species
UUAAAUAAAUCUAAUUAUUAGAAUUUAAUUUCGACUUAAAAAAUAUGAUUAUUUUAUUAAUCUAUUUAAU